rnacentral:rRNA from 1 species
GAUGAACGCUGGCGGCGUGCCUAACACAUGCAAGUCGAGCGAACAGACGAGGAGCUUGCUCCUCUGACGUUAGCGGCGGACGGGUGAGUAACACGUGGAUAACCUACCUAUAAGACUGGGAUAACUUCGGGAAACCGGAGCUACUACCGGAUAACAUGUUGACCCGCAUGGUUCAACAGUGAAAGACGGUCUUGCUGUCACUUAUAGAUGGAUCCGCGCCGCAUUAGCUAGUUGGUAAGGUAACGGCUUACCAAGGCAACGAUGCGUAGCCGACCUGAAAGGGUGAUCGGCCACACUGGAACUGAGAAACGGUCCAGACUCCUACGGGAGGCAGCAGUAGGGAAUCUUCCGCAAUGGGCGAAAGCCUGACGGAGCAACGCCGCGUGAGUGAAGAAGGUCUUCGGAUCGUAAAACUCUGUUAUUAGGGAAGAACAAAUGUGUAAGUAACUAUGCACGUCUUGACGGUACCUAAUCAGAAAGCCACGGCUAACUACGUG